rnacentral:rRNA from 1 species
GCCCUUCGGGGUGGAUCAGUGGCGAACGGGUGAGUAACACGUGAGCAACCUGCCCCUGGCUCUGGGACAACCACUGGAAACGGUGGCUAAUACCGGAUACGACCUGCCUCGGCAUCGAGUGUGGGUGGAAAGUUUUUCGGCUGGGGAUGGGCUCGCGGCCUAUCAGCUUGUUGGUGGGGUAAUGGCCUACCAAGGCGACGACGGGUAGCCGGCCUGAGAGGGCGACCGGCCACACUGGGACUGAGACACGGCCCAGACUCCUACGGGAGGCAGCAGUGGGGAAUAUUGCACAAUGGGCGAAAGCCUGAUGCAGCGACGCCGCGUGAGGGAUGACGGCCUUCGGGUUGUAAACCUCUUUCAGCUCCGAAGAAGCGAAAGUGACGGUAGGAGCAGAAGAAGCACCGGCUAACUACGUGCCAGCAGCCGCGGUAAUACGUAGGGUGCAAGCGUUGUCCGGAAUUAUUGGGCGUAAAGAGCUCGUAGGCGGUGUGUCGCGUCUGCUGUGAAAACUCAGGGCUCAACUCUGAGCUUGCAGUGGGUACGGGCACACUAGAGUGCUGUAGGGGAGACUGGAAUUCCUGGUGUAGCGGUGAAAUGCGCAGAUAUCAG